rnacentral:tRNA from 1 species
GCCCGGUUAGCUCAAUUGGAUAGAGCGUGAGACUCUUAAUCUCAAGGUUGCGGGUUCGACCCCCGCAUUGGGCU